CCUACGGGUGGCUGCAGUGAGGAAUAUUGGUCAAUGGGCGAGAGCCUGAACCAGCCAAGUCGCGUGAAGGAUGACGGCCCUACGGGUUGUAAACUUCUUUUGUCAGGGAGCAAUUGAGUCCACGUGUGGGCUUAGCGAGAGUACCUGCAGAAAAAGCAUCGGCUAACUACCUGCCAGCAGCCGGGGUAAUACGUAGGGAGCAAGCGUUUUUCGGAAUGACUGGGCGUAAAGGGUGCGUAGGUGGUUGUACAAGUUAGGAGUGAAAUACCCAGGGCUUAACCCGGGUGCUGCUUCUAAAACUGUAGGACUUGAGUGCAGUAGAGGUUGGUGGAAUGCCUAGUGUAGCGGUGGAAUGCGUAGAUAUUAGGAGGAACACCAGAGGCGAAGGCGGCUAACUGGACUGCAACUGACGCUGAGGCACGAAAGUGUGGGGAGCAAACAGGAUUAGAUACCCGGGUAGUC
rnacentral:rRNA from 1 species